CAGCCGCCGCGGGAAUACGUAGGGGGCGAGCGUUGUCCGAAGUUACUGGGCGUAAAGCGCGCGUAGGCGGCUUCUUAAGUCUGAGGUGAAAGGUUCAACGCUUAACGUGAACAGUGCCUUGGAUACUGGGGAGCUUGAGUAUGGGAGAGGGCAGUGGAAUGGCUGGUGUAGCGGUGAAAUGCGUAGAUAUCAGUCGGAACACCCAUGGCGAAGGCAGCUGCCUGGCCUAAUACUGACGCUGAGGUGCGAAAGCGUGGGGAGCGAACGGGAUUAGAUACCCGCGUAGUCCCUGUCUCUUAUU
rnacentral:rRNA from 1 species